UCCGGUUUGUCACCGGCAGUAUCCCAUGAGUCCCCGACAUAACUCGCUGGCAACAUAGGACAGGGGUUGCGCUCGUUGCGGGGCUUAACCCAACAUCUCACGACACGAGUUGACGACAGCCAUGCAGCACCUGUGUUCCCGCCAGCCGAACUGAAGGGUCUCAUCUCUGAAACCCAUACGGGACAUGUCAAGGGCUGGUAAGGUUCUGCGCGUUGCUUCGAAUUGAACCACAUGCUCCACCGCUUGUGCGGGCCCCCGUCAAUUCCUUUGAGUUUUAAUCUUGCGACCGUACUCCCCAGGCGGGAUGCUUAAUGCGUUAGCUGCGCCACUGAAGAGCAAGCUCCCCAACGGCUAGCAUCCAUCGUUUACAGCUAGGACUAC
rnacentral:misc_RNA from 1 species